GAUGAACGCUGGCGGCGUGUUUAACACAUGCCAGUCGAACGAUGAAGCCCAGCUUGCUGGGUGGAUUAGUGGCGAACGGGUGAGUAACACGUGAGUAACCUGCCCUUGACUCUGGGAUAAGCGCUGGAAACGGCGUCUAAUACCGGAUACGAGCUUCCACCGCAUGGUGAGUUGCUGGAAAGAAUUUCGGUCAAGGAUGGACUCGCGGCCUAUCAGGUAGUUGGUGAGGUAACGGCUCACCAAGCCGACGACGGGUAGCCGGCCUGAGAGGGUGACCGGCCACACUGGGACUGAGACACGGCCCAGACUCCUACGGGAGGCAGCAGUGGGGAAUAUUGCACAAUGGGCGCAAGCCUGAUGCAGCAACGCCGCGUGAGGGACGAAGGCCUUCGGGUCGUAAACCUCUUUUAGCAGGGAAGAAGCGAAAGUGACGGUACCUGCAGAAAAAGCACCGGCUAACUACGUG
rnacentral:rRNA from 1 species